rnacentral:rRNA from 1 species
GAUGAACGCUAGCGACAGGCUUAACACAUGCAAGUCGAGGGGCAGCACGGGAGUAGCAAUACAACUGGUGGCGACCGGCGCACGGGUGAGUAACGCGUAUGCAACCUACCUAUCAGAGGGGAAUAACCCGGCGAAAGUCGGACUAAUACCGCAUAAAACAGGGGCACCGCAUGGUGAUAUUUGUUAAAGAAAUUCGCUGAUAGAUGGGCAUGCGUUCCAUUAGGUAGUUGGUGAGGUAACGGCUCACCAAGCCGACGAUGGAUAGGGGAACUGAGAGGUUGGUCCCCCACACUGGUACUGAGACACGGACCAG